AGUCAUAUGCUUGUCUCAAAGAUUAAGCCAUGCAUGUCUCAGUACAAGCCGAAUUAAGGUGAAACCGCGAAAGGCUCAUUAAAUCAGUUAUGGUUCCUUAGAUCGUACCCACAUUUACUUGGAUAACUGUGGUAAUUCUAGAGCUAAUACAUGCAAAUAGAGCUCCGACCGGAGACGGAAGGAGCGCUUUUAUUAGAUCAAAACCAAUCGGCGGCGGGCUCGCUCGUCGUCGUACAACUUGGUGAAUCUGAAUAACUUUCUGCUGAUCGCAUGGUCUCGCACCGGCGACGCAUCUUUCAAAUGUCUGCCUUAUCAACUGUCGAUGGUAGGUUCUGCGCCUACCAUGGUUGUAACGGGUAACGGGGAAUCAGGGUUCGAUUCCGGAGAGGGAGCCUGAGAAACGGCUACCACAUCCAAGGAAGGCAGCAGGCGCGCAAAUUACCCACUCCCGGCACGGGGAGGUAGUGACGAAAAAUAACGAUACGGGACUCAUCCGAGGCCCCGUAAUCGGAAUGAGUACACUCUAAACCCUUUAACGAGGAUCAAUUGGAGGGCAAGUCUGGUGCCAGCAGCCGCGGUAAUUCCAGCUCCAAUAGCGUAU
rnacentral:rRNA from 1 species